rnacentral:rRNA from 1 species
GGAGCUGUUCUAGAACCGAUAACCCCCGUUUAACCUCACCCUCCCUUGUUUUUUCCGCCUAUAUACCACCGUCGUCAGCUUACCCUGUGAAGGCCUAAUAGUAAGCAAAAUUGGUAAAACCCAGAACGUCAGGUCGAGGUGUAGUGCAUGAGAGGGGAAGAAAUGGGCUACAUUCACUAAUUAUAGUGAACACGAAUAAAGUAUUGAAAUAUACUUCUGAAGGAGGAUUUAGCAGUAAGUGGGAAAUAGAGAGUCCCUCUGAAAAUGGCUCUAAAGCGCGCACACACCGCCCGUCACCCUCCCCAAGCACCCAACACCCCUUAACUAAACUAUACCGACCGCUACAGGAGAGGAAAGUCGUAACAUGGUAAGCGUACCGGAAGGUGCGCUUGGAAUAAC